UACGAAGGGGGCUAGCGUUGCUCGGAUUGACUGGGCGUAAAGGGUGCGUAGGCGGGUCUUUAAGUCUGGGGUGAAAUCCUGGGGCUCAACUCCAGAACUGCCUUUGAUACUGGAGAUCUUGAGUUCGGGAGAGGUGAGUGGAACUGCGAGUGUAGAGGUGGAAUUCGUAGAUAUUAGGAAGAACACCAGUGGCGAAGGCGGCUCACUGGUCCGGUACUGACGCUGAGGUGCGAAAGCGUGGGGAGCAAACAGG
rnacentral:rRNA from 1 species